CUGAAUUUUUCAGACUGAUAUUUAGUAUUGUAGCAGUACUUUUUAAGCAGUGUACGACACCAUUAGAAUGAUGGAAACAGGUAAUGUAGAAAAAUGCCUGUUUGUUUAAAAGAAAAGAUUAGAAUUUUAAUGGAAAUGAGUGAUGAAAAAAAAGCAGGAGGACUGGAUGACAAGCUUUUAUGAGAAUGAUAUUGAGGAUGAAGGAAAAGACACUAAAAAUAUCUGUGCUGACACAGCAUAGCUGCUUUAGAGAGAAGCUGAAGGUAUUGAAAAGAAAUCGGGUAAUUUCUGGAUAGUGCUAGAGAGCUGCAGGCUGUUAGAGGAAGUAAAUUGGCAAAUGUUUUUACAGCUAUGCAAAGGUAGAAAGAAGGUUAGAAUUUUAAUAUGAAAGGGUAGGUGCUGGAAGAGUUCCACAAAAACAAAACAAAACAAAACAAAAAACAAAAACAAAACAAAAAACAAACAAACAAACAAACAAACAAACAAAAAAAAAAAAAAACAAAACAAAAAAACCCCCCAAAAAACUCCGCAAUAAACCAAAAUUAAACAAAAACAAAACCAACCAAAAAGCCCAAACCAAUAACAAACAAAAAAACCAAAAAAAAACCCACUAAAAACCUGAAGUAACAGAUUUACAUGACUCUUGAAGAGAAGCCUACUGUUUCACUAUUAAAUUCUUUCCUUUCUUCAAAUUAGGGUUUUUCCUUGAGAAUUACACACAAAAUUGAGCAACAUCAUUCAGGUGACAAAGCACAAGGGUAUUGUGCACAUACUGUACAAUCCGCUCACUUGAUCAUAUAUUUUAUAUACAACCAGAACUUUCAGCACUUUUUAUAGUCUGGCCUCAUGACUUGCUCCCUGGUGGACAUAGUCUGUAUCUAACCCAAAAUGCUAAUUACCACUUUUUUUGUAUUUUUAUUUUUUGGUGUACUGAACUAUGAGCAGGCUGCAUCUGUGCCAUGAUCUAGAGGAAGGGUCUGCGUGGUGGAUGGGCAACUGGGUGACAGGCUGCACCCAGAGGGUGGUAGUAAAUAGCUGCUUUUCAAACUGGAAGCCUGUCACAUGUGGGAUCCCCCAGGGUACCAAAUGGAGCCCCAUGCUGCUUAAUGUCUUCAUAAAUGAUCUGGAUGAAGGGAUCAAAUGUGCUCUGAUGGCAUUUGCUGAUAAUACCAAACUGGGUGAGGGAAGGGGACACCUCAGGAGGGAGUGGCACCCUGCAGGAACAUCUCGAUAGGCUGGAGGAGAGGACUAGCAAGAACCUUAUGAAAUUUAACAAGGACAAGUAUAAAGUUUUGUGCCUGGGAAGCCAUAAUCCAGGAAUGUAUCUCAGGCUGGCAGCUACCUGUUUGUGAAAUAGUUCUAUAGAAAUGGACCUGGAGAUCCAGGGGAACUGCAAGUUCAAUGUGAGAGGUGUGCUGCUGUGGUAAAGAAAGCCAGUAGGACGUUGGGGUGCAUCAACAAGACCAUCACCAGUAGCCAUUAAAAAGCUACUUUAGUAUCCCCUUCUGUGCUUGUCAGGCCACACCUGGAAAUAGCAGGCUGGGUUUUGAUUCAUGCUAAGAAAACAAGAUGUGGACAGGCUGGAGAUGGUCUAGAGAAGUGCCAAAAAGAUGAUCCAGGGAUUAGGAUGAUGGUAUGUGGGAAAGGCUGAGAACUGGGUUUGUUCAGCCUUGAGAAAAGAAAGCUUAGGGGACACUUCUCAUUUUUCAGUUUUUAAAGUGUGGCUACAAAGAAGAUGGAAACUCCCUUUUUAUGAGGAGUCACAUGGAAGUGACGAGGUGAAAUGGGCACAAGUUGCACCUGGGGAGAUUUUGAUUAGACAUAGGAAGAAAGUUUUCCACAAUGGGAACAAUCAGACAUUGAAAUAAUCUCCUCAGGAAAGUGGGCAGUGUUGGACACCUUUAAAUUCCUCAAGGCAGGACACUUUUAAAAUCCAGCUGGCCAGUGUGCUGGGCCUUAAUGAACAUUUGAUUGGCCAUGCAGAGAUGAUUGGAAGUUUAUUUACUUGAGACUUAUAAAGAGGUUUUUGCAGUAAUGAGAGAGGGAGACUGGAAAACUAAAGUGAUGGAUCACACAGCCUAUCAUAGAUGUACUCAGUAGUCAGUGCAAUAUCAGAAUAUAUGAUUCUCAGAAUCAUUCCUAAGUUUUUGAGAGGAAAUUGAAUCUAAUCUAAUUUUUUUUCCUUCCCUUCCUCCCUACCUCUCCUCCUUGCUUCCUUCUUUCUUGAAAAAUAAUAAUCUAUUGGAGCCUCAGCAAAUUCAGUAGGUUACUGAAAUGAUAAAAUAAAAGGGAGUAAGGAGACAUACUCUGGCCAAAAAAAUGUAUGAAAUAUUUUAUAAAAGCACAUUUGUUACCUGCGAGUUUAUUAAUUUUUUGUGUUAUGGAGUUUGUUUUCUUUUAUUGCAUACAUGCCUGUGUUAAAUGUAUAUGUGUGUGCAUUCACUUUUAAUGAGAAAUUAUGCACAUUUUCCUUUACCAAGAAAGGUCUAUAUUAUAGGUUUUUUCCCUAUUUCAGUCAGAGAUUGAGCUUUUGUUCAGAAGCUAAAUCUUCUUUCAGACAGAUAAAUUUUCAGAUUCCUUCAUUUACUUUGGCAGCUUUUCUGAUUUUGAAAGGUACAAAGUAAUAUGUUAUAAUUUUAUUAGGCAUAUAUUUAUAUAUAUAAUAAUUAAUAUAAUAAGAGGAAGAAUAAGACUCAGGACAACAUCAAAAAUAAGGACUUGGAACCUAAGAAAAACUAAUACAUACAACAGAAAACAAACCAACUAGGCCAGUGGAUAAGAAAUAAUAAAACAUAUUGUUUACAUUACAUAAAACAAACAUACAUCUUAUAAUACCCAUCCCCAAACUGAGGAAUUAUGGUGAAAAAAAGGUUAUUGAAACCAUUAAGCCAGUUUGUAGCUGCAUAUAUAAAUUAGAUCUUAGGAUGAAAAAGCAGAGGUGCAUAACACAAAUUAAAUUACUUAUUACUUCUGUGCUAGGGGUUGAUUAUGUUUAACACUUAUUUAGAAUAAUAUAUUUUGUUCUUUCCAUUUACCUUUCCACAAGGAUAUUAUUGCUCUAAAAAUAUAUAUAUAUAUAUAUGUAUAUAUAUAGUGAGAAUAAUAUAGUUCAGCAGUGCAUACAGUAGUGAAAAUUGUGGAUUUAUUCUCUUUAAGUGACCUAAAUUGCAGCAUGCAGAGUAAUGAAGUUUUAAUAUCAUAAAUAUCAAACAGUUCAGACUGAAGAAAUAGCAAAAAGUAAAUGGAUCAGUCAAAAAGAGGAAAUAGGCAGAGAAUAAUUUACUUAGAUAGAGAAAAAUAUGAACUGAGACACCAGGUAGAUCAGUGAAGUAAAAAAAAAAAAAAAGGGGGGGGGGAAGCAACAGCCAGAGAUUUAUAUUUUUUGUAGGAAUAUAUUAAAGGACACAGAGAAAAAGUUGGAAUGUGGGAUUUAGAUAAACCUAAAGGAGAUAUUUAUUCUCACCUUUUAUGCAUAUUGAGUGUUCACUGAUUAUAGAGUACCUAGUCUAAUUUCAUUUUCUGCUUUUAAAAUAUGAUUAGUCAAUAACUGUUUUAUGAGAACCACUUGUCCGAAAGAACAACAAAUUCAUAAUUACAGGCUGUCAUGUCUGUUUUACUUAGAAUAUAUUUUUGCUAUUGAAAGUGGGAAGUUUGACUGUGGUGGUAACAGGAGAGAGGAGGACUGCAGGAAAAUUAGGUCAAUUCAGUAUUUUUUUAAACCACAUGGGAAUUUGAGAGGCCAUAGUAACAGUAUGCAUCUGAGCAAGUAAGAACUUCUAAAGCAUAGGCACUUAAAGUUAGGUGAGUUCUACUGCAGUGACUUAAACAAUUUUUUUCUCAAACCAAAUUUUUUCUUUGAUCUAGAUGCCUGGGUCAUGUUUGGGUUGCACUCUGGGAUCUUUUGUCCUUCUUAAUUUGGUCUAAAUUUAUGUUUUAAUCUCAUCAGAAAUAACCUCAAGAUAGUUUUGGUAGCAUUCUGCCAUUUCAAGGAAAUUCGGGAAAAAAAAAUAUGUUACAAACAGGAAUGUCUGUUAAAGCAGGGUGAAAACAAAAGAAGUGGAAAGCAUUAGGAAUGCUGGAACAUUAACACAAAGCAAGAGAAAAAAUGUUAUGUUUGUGAAAACCAAAGCCAUUGUCAUGGAACAGAAAAAUCUGGAGAAUUUUCAAGAUGAUUUUUUAAAAAAGAUAAAUACAGUAGUUGCAGUGUACUUGUAUCAGAGAUCAAACACAAAUAAAGAGCAAAUGAGAUUACCUGGCAUUUGCAACUGCUUACAAAAACUUCAGGGAUUAUGUAGUAAGUGCCUAGUGCCAUUUAAUUAAUCUCUGUGAUGGUAAUUCCUUCUACUGCAUACUGAAAUUUAUUUCCAACACUGAACUCCAGAAGAAGAAUUCUCUCCUCUUUUCUUGGACUCAAAAGCUUCAGGUGUAAUGAAAGAAAAAUGAAGGAUCUCUUUUCUUCAGACUCUGAGAAUGGCAGCAUUAGAACAGUAAGUAUAGUUUGUCCUGAGGCAGACCUUGUACCUUAUUACAUGAAGCUAUGUAUUCACUUUUUAGAGUAAAAUGACAGCAAUUGCCUUCUUACUUCUGAGUCUGAGCUUUGGACUCCAUUAAUACAAAUGGAAGUGUGGUGUAAAAUUUGAACAGAGGCUUGUGUAUGUAUGUGAAUUUUUGUUAAUCAGAACUCACACAGGCUCUUAUAUCAGGGAAGAUUCCUUUUUUAUUCUGUGCAGUGAUUUAUUUGUUAACUUUCUGGUUAUUUAAUAUAAAAUAUUUUUUAAAUGUAUGUGUGUUAAAAGGUAUAUAUUUAGAAAAUUUCUGUAUGUGUAUUAGACAAAAAAAACCCUGCCUUUUCUCUGGAAAACAAAAAAAAUGUUAUAUGCAUAAAAUUCUUGUAGUCUAACUAACUGGUAAAUGUGACAAUGUACUGCAAUUUACAGAAUGUGGAGAAUUCUGAUGUCAUCUACCCCUUUGUUCACAGCAUGAAAGUGGCUUAUUAAGCAUAAUGCUAUGCUAUCAUGCUUCGUCUGCUGCCUCUAAGAAGAAAACAGGCAAAUAUAGAAUGAAUUGUACUCAGCCUUCAAAAAGAACUACUACCAGCUAGAGAAGUUACUCUAUGGAACCAAUGACACAGAUUUUUCCAAAGAGCACUCGGUGGCUUCUGGUUAGGCACCUAAUUGGAAUAGCCAAGUUUUUCAAAGACAGGUCCUUGUGCACUGAAGACUUCUGUAAAUGUGACCACUGAAUUUUGAUUCCCUAGUUAGAGCAGCUCUUAGGUGAAAAGCCGCAGUGCUGAGCGGGAGGGAACAGAAUGACUGGGGGAGAAGAAAUCUUGUGCAUUGGGAUACUGAAGUCAUAAAAAUCAUGUCUAUAUAGCAGAAAAGUUUCAAUGGGAUUCAGAAGUAGACUAAAUUGUCCUUCAAAGAGGACAUAUCGUUUCUGUUCAUAUUAGUCCUUCUGUGCUUUCUAUCCUCUCAAAUUGAACCUUUUCUAUUUCACUGGGUCACAGAUGUGAAAAAUACUUUAAUACCUUUACUUAAAGGUUCAGAUUAUAGAGAUAAAAUUGAAUCUGAUGUUCUCACCAGAUUAUGUCAGUAUGACAUAUCACUGCAAUAAAACUAAUUUGGCAAGGGAAUGAUUGGUAUGUUGGUUGUCAAUGGAGUCAAGAGUCUUUUUAAAUGGAAAAAAAAAGAUAAUAUGGCUAAUUUUUAAGCUGCUAAGAGACUCUGUAGGACACCAUUUAUCAGUUCUGACCUUUAAAUAUGGAAGAUUAUAAGCAUGUCAAUGACAGCACUAUCCAGUAAGUAGACUGCAUCCUGAAAGCCAAAUUUCAUAGGGCAGCUGAACUUGGGUCAUCCUUUCAAUUGCUCUUCUUGUAUCCCUUUCCCUCCUCUAUCAGAGUUUUAAAUAGAUGUCAAACUCCUUAUGAAUGACUCAAUUAAAUCAACCAUUUCACUCACUACGCAUUUUGGACAAUAUACUUAUAUAAGUAUGAUCCUUAUAAGGAUCACACUUUAAAGAAAAAACAAAAACCCUAUAAACUAUCAAGUGUACUGACUUCUUUUUACGUAUAUGGAAAAUCAGUAUUGCAGUGUAAUAGAUAAAUUUGGCAGUAUUCCAUCAAAGAGUUUAAAUUCUUGGCAACAACAGAACAAAAAAACCACUUAUAUUGACUUCAUUUUUUCUAUGUUGCUAUAGACUGCAGCAUCUGAUGCUUCAGGGAGUGAACCACACUGCCUGUUCCAACCAACUUCAGGCAAUGGGAACACAUAACACAUAGAAUGUUUUUUGGUAUCCCAGAAAUUCUUCUACACACACACACACACAAAAUUGUGAUGGCACUUCUAUUUCUAUAGACACCCAUUCCCUCUGGACAGAGACAAAUACAAAACUUAUUGGAAGAGCAAUAUUAUAAUUUAACUUAUAAAUGUGUUGGGGUUUUUUUUAAGUUUUUUUUCUAGUUUUGCUUUAGAUGAUGAAAUUAGGUCCUGCUUCACCUUUACUGAAGCAAAAACAAAUUUCUGAUUUUUCUAUACUUUUAUUUAAUCAAUAAAAUCACUGCUCUUUUUUUCUCUCUCUCAGCAAAAAAAAUAGGACUUUCAAUCUAAAAUUAAUUCUUACAUUUUUCUUGAUUUGGCUUCUGAUGUUGCUUGCUGAACAGCAUUAAAUCAUAAGGAAGGAGACUGCAUACUGUAAUUUCAAUCCUCUGCAGGGUUCAAUUUUAUUCAAUACUAUAUAGAUGUAGUUUGCUUUCUGAUGACUUGAAGAUCUGUGUUUUCACUUUCUCCCUUAAAAAUUGAUUCUCUUCAUGUUAAUUUAAGGCAAAGAAAUACACAUCCUAAAGGUCCCUGGCAGUUUUCGGCAAUUAGUUGAACUACCUAUGCUUCUGACUGAUGCAAAAAAUGUUGUUGAAAACAAUUAAGUUUUAAAUAAAAACUUAGGCUUUACAGAUCAGGGUUUGUUUUGUUUUUUUUUUCAAAUUUUGUAUUGCUUAUUUUCUUGUGAAGUCGUGAAUUUACAGAUCUUAUAAAAGUUAAGAGAAUAUAACAGCAAAAAAGAAAAUGAUUAAGCAUCCUAAUUAUUCUUCUAAAUUAACAUGUACACGUUUUUGUGAUUAUUUUAUUAUUCAUGCUUUAAUAUGUUUGAGGUUUUGGGUGGGGUUUUUUUGUUGUUGUUUUAGUUUUGUUCUUUUUUUUUUUUCACAGUGCAGAAAAAAUGAUUCCAUAAUAAAAUACUUAUUUGAAAAGACCUGACACAGACAACACCUUUUUUCACCAAGUGACUUGAAAUUCUGUGGUGCAUGCUAACAACCAAGCAACACAUUGUGACCCUCCUGGCACAUGUAAUCCUGGGUUCAUUUUCCACCCUGUAACAGUCAUGAGAAAAAGCCAAAAGCCCAGUCAGUGCAUCCUAUCACUGUAGGAUGGUAGGCUUAUCCUCUGCUUUCCAAGGUGAGUGCAGAGGCAAUUACUGCAAAACUUAGACAAGGUCUUAGUUGGUGUGUGAGCUUUGCACCUGUACCUCAGUGUUUAAACCUGAUUAUCAGCAAAUACCAUGUUACUUACUGAAUUUUGUUUGCAAAGAUGUAAAGUGAAAACAGAGGGUGUUUUAUUUAGCUACCUGCUUAUAUAGGGUAACUCAUUCUUCUUUGUUUUCUUACACCCAGCAGCAGGACUCUGAAAUCUGAAUAUGUCUUUUAUGUUCAUGGUACUGUUUGCAAGUCUGCUGCAGGCCCAUGCAUUUAAUAAAAAACCAUAAUUUUUAAAAUUAUUAUUAUCUGUAGAUACUAUUGUUCCAUAGACUUUUCAGACAUACAUAUCUUGUAAUUAAUGACUGGGACAAAUAAUCAUUUUCAAGUUAUUGGUUGCAUGGAUCAAAACAUAAAAAAAUAUUUUAUUAGGUCUCAAUGGACUGUAUCAGUAGAUUUUUUCUUAUGAUAAAAAUAAAGGGAUUAAGACGGAUUUUUCAUCUCAAAUAUGUAGUGGCUAUUCAGCAGAUGAUGAGACAAAGACCAUGUGCUGAAGAUUUUGUGUUCCUGGUGUUAUCAAGAGAUGUUACAUCAAAGAACAGAGAAUAAAGUGAGAAGAAAGCUCUGAUUUCUAUAAUUUUUAAAAAAUAAUUUAACAACUUUAAAAAUUUAGUCACUACUCAUGCCAAUUCUCUUAAACAGUACACUGGUCCUGGCCAAAAUCCUCCUUCAAUUUUUUUUUCUUUCCAAUUUCUGGAUUAUUUGGAAUAAAAAGCUAAAGGGAAAAAUCCCCCUGAUGGAGUUGUGCUGUUGGUCAGCUAGAUAGGACACCUUCUUAUAAAAGACAGAGAUAAAAGGAAUAUACUUAUUUUUUUUAAUACUUCGAAUAAUUUAUAUAAAAGAAAAUAUACAUGCUUCAGUGUUUGAACUCAUCUAGUCAAAAUUUAUUCUAUGUGACAGACUAUACUAUGUGUCAAAAUGUAAGAGCAUUUAAAGAUUUUAUUUAAGAUACUUUCUUCAGUUCAUGAUUCAGCAUGUAAGAUUGCAGUUAUUUGGUGGAUAUUUUUAUACCAGACAAAAUUUAGACUUUCUUGAUAUAAUAAUCUAUAUUUUAAGUAAUAUCGGAGAGGUAAAAAAAUAUAAUUUGGGGUUUCUUCAAUCUAUAUAUGGAAUUUUAACCCCAAAAAUAUGCAUUACACUUUUUGUCAUAUAAAAUUGAUUGUUUGAUGCGUUGAAGAAUAUUCAUGGCACAUUUAAGCACAUUUAUGGGUCUCAGUUUCAUAGGAAUUACAUUAAGACAUUGUGAUCUAAUCAUGAAACCUUCACUGGUCCAAAAGUCAGAGGAACUGGGCUAGCAUUAAGUCUUAGAAAUAAAACCAUAAAUGUGCUGGUUUUAGUUCCAAUGUCUGAAGUAAUUGACUGAAAGCUUUGGGAGUUUACUGGUAUUUUAUAUUUUGAUGUAUUUCCAGACAUAUUUUAUGGGGUCUAAAUGAGAAUUUUCUUAACUUUUCAUUUGUCUUUUGGAAGUUCAGAACACAAUGGGCUUGUGGUUUUUUUGGUUUUUUUUUUUUGCUUGCUAACUUGGGGUUGUUUCAGUUUAUUUUGUUUUGGUUUUGUUUAUUUGUUUUCUCGUUGAGGUCUAAACUGUAACUUAGAGAAAUAGGGUAGAAGUAAAAUUGUUAAUACCUUUUUUAUAAGCACAUACCUACUUGGUGUUUUUUUGAGAAUGUAUAUAUUAAUGUUUAGAGUUACUUUAAUGAGGUUUUUGGGAAACUAAAGGGAGACUUGGGAUUCUUGGAAAAUAUGUUAAUAAUAAAGACAUACAGAAGAAAGUAUUCCUCUAUGAAAAACAAAGCUUUUCAAUAAGGAAAGGCCAGAUAUGAUUAGUUUUUCCAUUGGAAAUUAUAUUGUCUUAAAAAUGGACAUUCUAGGUAAAGGAACAGAACAGUUUAAUUAGCAAAAGCCAAACUUGACUUUUCACCAAAUUUUGAACUUUUGAAUUGAAACAGUAAGUUGCUGGAGUUUUUUAUCUUCACAACUUAUUUGAUUAAAAAUCUGUUCAUCUUUCACUGGUAUUCACAAAUUAAUAUGAAUAUCUUUUUUCCAAUAAUGCAUUUAAAAUUAUAAUAAAAAACCCGUAAUAAAAAGUGUUAGAAUUCAAAGUGUUCUAAAACUUUCAGCAUCAAAGGAAAUGUGGAAAAAACCCCUACCAACUUCUCAGAAGCACAACAAGUACAACACCAAGUGCUUGUUUAAAUAGAGUAUGUAUUUGACAGCAAAAAAAACCAAGAUAAAAACCCCAAAAACUCAUUAUAAGGAACUAUGAAUGGAUGUUAUUUAUAAAUCUUAAUUUUAAUAUAAGACUAUUCCAUUAAUUCAGGCAAAAACCUGUUGAUUUUGGUUUAGUAUUUCUAAUCAACUGGGAUGUGGAGAGUCCUCCUUGUCUGUGUAAAUGGGUUUCAAAAUGCUUUUCUUUCUUAAUAUUUCCUUAUGGUUCUUUUUGAAGCAAGAAUAAUGUCAGAUAUAUUUUCACCAAUUAGAAAUACCAUUCAGUGUCUGAUUCAAGGAAAAGCUAAGAAAAUGUGAGGUCGGAAGACUCUGGUCUUGUUCCAACUCUGCACACCAACAAGUAGCUCAUUUUUAGCAUGCUGGACAAAGCACUCCUUUCAUGAAGAAACAGUCUGUUACACCCUCCCCCGCUUCCCUAGCUGAAAAUUCCCUAACACAUCAUUUUCACUGACUGUUCAACACAGUGUUAUGUCAUGAUGGAUGCAGAGAAACCAUAAUUAACUUCUUUUAUUAUAACUUAUUUUCUGUCUGCAAUGUGAGCUACCAUAUCUGUAAAGAUUAAUUUGACAAAUGCAAGGGAAAAAGGGCUAACUGGUGCCUUACUAUACCUCUAAAUGGGAAAUAGGAUACACAGGCAAUGCAAAGCCUCACAACACACUCAAAAAUUUAAAAAUAAUUUUGACGUGGAAUUCAUUGUCCCAUGGAGGUAAAGAGAAUUUAAAAGACUGUGACUGAAAGGCUGAUCAAAUAAAAAAAUAUUUCCUUUUUCUUCUUUUUGAGCUCUGGUCAUUCUUAUAAGUUGGACGGGAACUGCAACAAAACCUGAGAAUGUAAUCAAAAGCCAACAAUUUUAUAGCAAUGAUAUUGAUGUUUUUCCCAGGAGCAUAACAAGGAUUGUGGCUCUGUUUUAUUUGUUGCUGAGCAAACAUAAAAAGACUUUGCUGUGAUGAGUUUACAAAUGGAUUUGUAUUUCUUUUCAUUCUUAUAUACUGUUAUGCAUAUUUUUUUUAACUCAGCCACUUGUUUUUUCUUUUACAAGCAAAGAGAAGGAAUUAACAAUGUAAAUAAGCACACUGAGAGUAAGGAUACCAUUUAGCACAAACCUUAAUCACUGGAAUUGAACCCAAAAUAAGUAGCUUGCUUUCUUGAAUAACAUUCACAAAAGAGUCAUUAUUUCUCUGCAUCACUACAAAAUCUGCAGUCUACAUGUUCUUUUAGUUCUUUAUAAGCUGUAUGCAUCCCUUCUAAGGAUUGCAGAGAGUAGAAAUGCUUUGUCUGCAGUUUCUGAGCACCUGGCCUAUCAAGUGAACUAAGAAAAGAUUCAUGAACUAAGAAAAGAUUCAUGGCCUCUGCUCCACAGGGGAGGGUAUUGCAUAGUAAUGUGAUCAGCUAAUGUCAGUCAUGUCCUCCCCCAGAUUUGAUCAGAUGAAUAAAGACAUCUUACAUGUAAAAACUACAAAUAUAAAACAAAACCUGUACUUUUCUCUCUGUAGAUCAGAGAAAUGUACUAAAAACUGUCCUCUAACAACAGUAUAAAAAUAAUCAAAUUAAUUUUCCUGCACAGCUUUAAUUUCAGUGGAUUGACAUAUGUUUUUUUGAUACAAACUCCAAUUAUAUAGCCUUUUUUAUUUUUCAUGAGAAAAUUCUUACAAUGGAAAAGGGAGUCUAUGCUAAGAAUAUCUAAUUAGCCAUUCAGCCAAUUGCUUUUUAACUUCAACAUUAAAAACAUCACCCAUACCUUAUGUACAGGACAUAAUUUCAACUGAUCACUGAAUUAAAAAAAAAAUAUUUACCUCUGGGACAUUUCUGUGGUGCACAUCACUGUGGGAUCAGAGUAACUGAGAAACAUUAUUUUGCAGACGCAACAUCACUUGCAGGAAGGAUAAUACAAUUACAACUGACUGAGAUACAAGGAGCUUAAUGUCAGAAUAUUCAAACAUCUAUCAGCUCAGGGUGAUCCCACUUGACAUGCCUAUGGUCCAAAUUUUCAGUAUAUUUAGCAUUUCAUAAAAUUUUCUCUGUUCAAAGGGCAGCUCUAGCAGACUUUCUCUGUGGUUCCCUUUUGCAUUCUGCUCAUUUUAGCACUUCUGCUCCUUUUACUCCUAUUUUAACACUGUCAGCACCUCUCUGCUUCUUGGCCCCUCUCAUUUCAGUUUGCCCUUUUCUCCUUCCCACCCACACACUGCAGCUUGCUUACUAGUAAGAAAAUUAUGAACAUACUAUCAAAAUGACUUUUGGCUAGAGAAAAAGCAUCUGUGAAGUUCUGCUGAGCUCCAUGAGAGCUGCUCAACCUAUGCUUCUUACAGAGAUAUAAUAGACACUGCAAUCUGGCCCUGAGGGUGAGUAAACACUGAGUAUUUUAAUGCUGGACAGCACAUGACCUUGGACAACACCUGAGUCCCAUUGGUAGUAAGUGUCUCUUUCACAACCUUUACCAUUUUCAGGUCAAAGUACUGAAGAAUUUGGUGGGCUCUGUUACAGCACAUCAAAAUGAUGUGUAUUAAUAGUGCCACUGACCUGACUGGGGCAUGACCUCAGGGAGGUUUGGAAAAUAUAAUUUCCUGAACUAAUGUCCCAGGAUUGAGCAGGGUGAACAGGACGUAAGCGAUGGACACUACCAUACUGCCCAAUGAGAGUGGAUUUGGAUGAUUUUGACCCUUGAGAAGUAAGUGUCCAGGCACAAUCUCAGAGAUCACUCAUUGAUGUGAACCAAAACCAUGCCAGAGAGUAUGAAACAUAAUGGAUGAAAACAGAAGGAAAGAAUUAGAUCCAUGUUUUUUGGGUUUUUUUCACAGUAUGCGUGUACUUUUACAGUUUGACCAGAACACAAGCGAGGAGAGAGAGCAUAGAAAGAAGAGAAUUUUCUGAAAGCCUCAUAUAUUUAUAUUCUCAUUGCUUUACCAGAACAAAAAAAAAAAGUUUCUGGCACCCUACUUCAGUGUAAAAAAUUCAUUCAUCAGUCAUUUGAAUUUUUUAUUAGUUUCUUAUGAGAUUUUCUUAACAAGAACACAAAAACAUUAUAAGGAGUAAUUGAACUUCUAUUUGAACAUAAAUAAAGCAAACAGUGAAAAUAUAGCCCAAAAAGCUCUGAUCAAUUUUAUGGAGUAGCAGAAAAUGCCAGGCAGCCAUAUUUUUUCACGAAAUUAUAAAUUAGAAACUUUAUGGCAGAUUAUGCUUAAGCCUGGUUUUUGCAUGAUUCACAAUUGUGUGGAAAGCAGAAUAAUGCAAGUAAUGCCUGUCUUGAAUUGAUAUAAAUAAUGAACUCUUUCUUGGGAUAUUGUUCCUAAUUUGAUGGUAUUAAGAAGGAUAUGCAUAUUUUUAUGCAUAAAAAUAUACUGUUGAUUUAUUAUUAAUAAUAAGCAAUAUGUAGAGUAUAAAUUAAUUACUUCAGAUAAGGGCUAAGAAAGUAAAACAAAUUAUUUUUUUUAAUAUAUUUAACUGAAAAUACAACCAGCUACUAGCACGUUUAACUUUAUGUCUAGUUUAGUAGGUCAUUAUUUCCUUCUACAUAUAUUUCAACCUUAAAAGUGUAGGUAGAUUGCCUAAUAUGUGAAAGUAAGGAGAUUCUGAAAAGGAAAUGUUAGGACCUCAGUGGUUUAUUUAAGAAAAAAUGAAGGAGGUACUUCUUUAGAACUAAAAUGUAGUGUUACAUCUCAGCAGAAUGAUAAAGGCAGAUAAUGUAUUGAUUUACUGUUUUGAUUUUAAACCAACUCAAGAUGUUUUUUGUUUUUUUUUUUUAGAUAUGCUAGACGCAAAAAUAAAGCAAAACAACUUUAUAGCAUAGUGGAGAAAACUAUGACAAGUGAAGAGAUUCAAAGUCAUGAACAUAGUCAAAUCAAGAAAGUCUUUAAUUCCUAAUGCAGUCUACUGUGUAACCUGUUUAUUCAUUAAUGAAGCAAUUGCAAAUGUUGACUCUGGUUUAUUUUCUUGUCAUGAUUUGCUGGGAGAAAAGGGCUGAAAGAAAAGAUUAGAACAGAGCUGCUUAAAGCUGUGUCUACAAUCUCUCCAUGGUUUUGGCCAUGUUCCAGACACAUUAAAGAAAUCUCAGAGUGGUCCCUUUCUUUUUCUCAGAGACAUUCCUUUCUUUUUGUCUUUUCUUUUUUCCUUUUUUUUCUUUUUCUCUUUUUCAUUCUUUUUUGUCCUCCUCUAUAAUUUUUUUCCUUUUGCCUUUUUUUCCUGUCACCAUUUUAAUCUUUUUUUCUCCCCUUUUCAUCCCAUUUUAAUUUUUCCUUUUCUUUUUCAUCAUUUCUGCUUUAUUUUUAAAUUUUUUUUCUUCCCUCCUCUUCUCCACUUUUACCCUUCUCUUCAUUUCCAUUUUGUUUCGCUUCCUUUCUUUUUCCUUCCCUUCCCCUCUCUGCUUUGCCUUAAUCUGCCUAGCCUUACACACCUUCCUCUUCUCCUGCCUCUUCCUAUCAUUCCGUGUUUCCAGGAGAACAUUUGGAUGCCCAAAUGUAGAUUAAAUACUUUUCAUUAUGCACCCACUUCCUAAAAACACCACACUUAACCCACACUGGCUCUAAGGAACAAUCCUGAUAGGCUACAGGUUUAUCACCUUUUACAGAUUAAACAUCUGUCACAAUGGAGAAAUUCUAAAUGAGAAAAGUUGUUAGGAACUAUGGUAUUUAGAGUCACAAACUUAAUUAAUGAAAAUUUAGACUGACCGAUAUAUUCAUGAAUUACUUAUCUCUCUGGAUUUUAUGAAUAUUUAGUAUAUCUAACAACUAUAGUUCUUAGCUAUAGAUUAUUUUUCACCUUCCAGUUUUUCCAAUAUUUAUUGUUAUUUGAAGUAAUAUAAUCUGUGGGUAAACAGAAAUGUUUUCAAUGGUGCUGGACAAGCAGAGAUUAUUUGAAAUAGACACAUAUGGAUGGAGUUACAUUAGUGUAGUACUGACUUUGUAAAGGUAGAUUGCAUGGGUUUCAUUUAGGAAUUAAAGAUCCUUAAAAUUUGAUAGUUGAAAAUUCUCAAUAAUUUUAUAUCUUUUCUAAACUUCCUAAUUCUUGCUGGAAUUUCAGUGUUGUUUGAAGGCAGAUACUGAGAAUGUCUGAAAUUCUCAUAAUUAUUUGAGUACAUUGAACACAACCCUGUUUUCAAUGAGUCAGGCAGCAUUUAACCUUCCCAAAUCAAUUUCAAAAGACAGAAAGGAAAUCCAUUGGAAAAAAAAAAAAACCUUCAUAAAAUAUGCAGAGAAGAAAAUUGACAUAAAAGGCUGACAGAAGCACAAUCACUCUCUUUGGAAGACUGGAAAUGUAAAUAAAGACAUCAUUCUUUUCAACAAAAACUGUGCUUAUGGAAUAUGAAUAUUAACAAUACUACACACUAGAACGUACCAUGAAGAUCAGUAUGCAUUCUUCUGAUGAUUUUCAAAGGUCAUUAAAAUCAAAAAAAUGUCUCAGUAUCUAAGCACCAUCGCAAGAUAACACCUUUAUGUAGCUCUUUGCUGUAUAGUAUAAUAAAUGCAAAAGACUUACAAAUAAAAUAAAACAAUGGCAGCAAUAUAAUGAAACCACAACUAGCAAACCUGGGUGUAGGUUACACUUGACUUCAGUGGCUUUGGCAAUAAAACCAUUUUUAAUAUAUUUUUAUAUUUUAUUUAUUUUAUAUUUUUAUUUAAUAUAGAAAAAUAAUUUUUUUGAUUUUUAGGGUGACAAAGUUUACAAAGCGCUUUAGACAUAUGUCUAAGCGCCACUGGUGGUAGAUUUUAGCAAGAGUUCUCAUACAUAAAGAGAUUUAUGCCUGUAUGUAGAAGGACAAAGUAUUUCCUAAAUGUGUUUAUUUGUAUUUGAAUUUAAUAAUAUCAGCCCUCUUUCUAGCAAGCCCUAGGAACAGAUCUACUAAUGAUGUUGAUUAUUUUAAAUGUCUAUUGGUAGAAAAUAUAAAAGCCUUCUCAUUAACACAUUUUCAUGACUAUGUAAAAUAAAAUUAAAUAGAAAGUAAGGGGUUAAAAGAUUUAACUAUUAAAAAAAAAAAAAAACCCUCAUAUAGUUAUUACAUUGCCAGCAGAUUGAGGGAGGUGAUCCUGUCACUCUAUUCAGACCUGGCAAAGCCUCAUCUGUAAUAUUGUUUCCAGUUCUUGACUUAGUGCAAGAAAGACAUGGAGCUCCUGGAAUGGUUAUAGGAAGUGGAAACAAACAUGAUUAAUUGACUGGAACAUCUCUCUUACAACAAAAGACUGAGGGAGCUGGCCCUGUUUAGCCUCAAGAAGAGACAACUAUGAAGGGACACCAUCCAUGUGUGUAAGUAUCUGAAGGGGGGGUGCCAAGAGCAUGGACCCAGGAUCUUCUCAGUGGUGAUGAGCAAUAGGACAAGUGGCAAUGGGCAAAAACUGCUGUACAGGAAGUUCCACCUGAAUCUGAGUGGAACUCUUCUGGGUGAGUGACCAUGCACUGGAAUAGAGUGCCCAGAGAGGCUUUGGAGUCUCCCUCAUUGGAGAUAGUCAAGAAGUGUCUGGACAAAAUUCUGUGCUGUGUGCUAUACGAUGAUUAUGCUUGAGCAGCGAGGUUGGGCCAGAUGACUCAAAAAUAAUUAAAAAAAUAAAAAAGAAGGGUAUCUUUCCACAUUUUCAUUCCUGGUUUCCUGGUUAAAUCUGGCCUCCUUCAAAUUUAUUGGUUGUAUUUAUCUUUUGACAUUCUUAUGUAUUUCUCAUAUUUUAAGUUUCUUAAUUUCAGAAUUAUUGCUAUAUAUAUUUAGAUUCUCUGAGAAUUUAUUUUUGCAAAUCUUUUUCGGAAGUAAAUUUUUUUCCUAUCUCAUUUUAUAAAGUAUGUUUUUAAAGCAGUGUAAGUCUGCUGAAAAGUUGGUUCAUUUUAACUUCUGGGAAUAAAAAUCCUGACAGUAAUUCAGGUACAGUCUGGCAGAAUUAAAGCAAAUUACAAGCCAUUUUUCUGAACAAAACUUUUUUUAUUUUUUAUACCGGAAAAUUUCAACAGGCUACCCAAAGCCUUUUAAGCUAUCUAAAGCCUUUUAAUUCUUUUUUUUUUUUCUUCUGAGAGAGGUCUCUUAAAAGUAGCAAUAGCUGUUGCAACUAACAGAGUGUUAAACCCACCAUUUUCAUUUUUAUGGUGUUUGUAUCACUUGAUUUAUAUCCUUAUUAUUAGAAAAUAUGAGAUGAACAAGUUAAAAAGUGUAAACUGUUCUGGAAAAUAAUGGGGAUCCAAACUUAAAUGGCAAGAAUCAUAAAGGCUGAUUUCAAGUUCCCAUUAGAAUUUUCUACUUGACUUGAGAGAAGGUUCACAUUGACACAGAAGCACAGUCUACACUGUAUGCUGAGAGACUUAAAUAAUAUAAUUGUGAAUGCAUUUUAUGGAAAGAGAAUUAUAAUUGUUAUGCAUAUCUAAUUCACAGAACAGGCAAGGACAAUUUCCCACUCACAGUUAUGUAACACAGUUCUGUGUCAGGCACUUAAGAAUGGUAAAUAAAAACAAGCAAAAAAGUAUUUUUUAACAUGUAACUGAUAUUUUUAAUAAAGACUCAUUUUUAUUUGUUUUGGUUUUCCAUAUGGCAUAAAAUAGAAUUGUGAUGAGAUGUUUGGUUAAGCCUGGGGAGGAAAUUUUUCUUCAUUUGAUCUUGCACAUAGAUGGAAUACAUUACUCUGAAGAAAAAAAAAGCAUCUCACAGCUUGAAUAUUUUGUAGCCUGACUUCUAUUUUAGUUCUGUAUAGCUAAGACAGUAUUAUUCAGUUAGCAAAAAAUACAUUGUGUUCAAUAGUAAAACCUGAGGAAAGGAAACAGUAAUUUUCUAAUAUUAUGGAAAACUAAACAGUCUUUAGAAAAGUUAUUCAAUAUUCCAUAAAUUCAAGAACAUUUUCUCAUCUUUAUGCAAAUUGUAUAGUAUCUCUAUUAUUCAGCAAGUGAUCUCCUUUGUUGCUGAAGUAAUAGGUCAAUUAUGGCUAAGCAACUGUGAUUGCAAGACCAUAGCAAAAGUUUUGGCAGCUUGGCUGUAGGCAUUUUUAUGUAAAAUUACUAUUCCUGAUCUAAAGUCUUAAUUUAAUAAGAUGGAAAAUAAUAAUAAAAUAGAAGAUCUGUGGCUCAUCAAAAGCUAUUUUAUGUGCUAUUGGAAAAGCACAUUUCACCCAGCUGAACAGAGAAAUUUCUUCAAAGUGUGAGCAGAAAUUUACUUCAAGGACACUUUUUAUCCUUCUUUUUUCCUUUUUUUUUUGUUUUGUUUUGUUGUUUUUUUUUUCUUUUGUUUGUUUUGUUUUGUUUUCAUUUUCAGUUUGCCAAAGGCUGCUGUCAUCACUAAUAUAAUUAUUUCUAAAACAUUUGAUCUGUGAAGUUGCACCAGACAGGACAUUUCUAUUUCUAUGCUCUUAUUUUGUAUUUUGGAACAUUUGGCACGGCUAAUCCGAGUGAUUGAUUGAAAUAUGGUAGAGGAAUGUAGCUGAAAAUAAUUCCAGAAUGCCAGAGUGCUAGUAUUUUUUUGAGAUGACCUAUAUCCAGUCUCUAGAACACACAUUAUAGACACAAGAUCAAUAUUUUAUUAGCAAUGACUAAUAACUCAUGAUGAUGUAAUACAUGAUGAGAGGAAGCCAUUUCCUGAUAUCUGAUAGCUGGAUAUAAAUAUAGCAGCCCCCUACAGAUAAUUAUUGCUCUUCUAUACUGUAUUAAUACAUUCCAGAAAAAAACCCAACAAAAUAAACAAACAAAAAAAAACCCCAAAAAAUAAACAUAUUUUAAUAUUUAGAUAAAGUAAUACUUUAACUACUUCAGGUUUAUUAUGUUUUGCUUGAAACACCUUUUAACUCAUUAUCUUGAAAAGAAUGAUACAAGAGAGAAUUAAGCAGUGCUUGAUUUACAAAAUUAUAUUAAGUUUAGAGUAAAAAAAUGUGUAGUAACAAGAUUUCUAUGCUUUAACUGGAUUUUUUUCUUCAAUAGAAAAAUCUUUCAUGCAUGUGAUACCUCAAGGAAGAGGUAUCACAUUGGCUGCGUGGGUGUUCACCAUGUGGAACUCCGAUUUUUACUAGACAGAGCCCCAAAUGAGAAAAAUCUCCAAUGUUUCUACAGGCAUGUUUAUAUACCUGUAGUAAGUUCCCUUUUUGGCUUGUGUUGACAGCUUUAAAGGAUUAUUUUCUCUGGAGUGUCUUUCUUUUUAUUUUUUUAUUAAGUCUUUUUUACAAGUUUCUAACUCUAGCAUUGAGAAUGUCAGUCUUAAGGCUUCUGAUUUACCUGUCUGAAAAUAAUUUGCUUAUUAUUAAGAAGGCCAUAUGACAAAUCUACACAUAUUUCCCUGUCAUCUACAGCUUUGAUUACUCUCAUUUUUGAUACAUUAAUCUUCUCCCUAUCUCAUUCCACAGCUAUUACCUAAUAAAGUGAAAAAUUAGAAAGGAAUACUCCAGAACAGUGAAUGAAAAAAAUCAGAAGCAUGGUUAAAUUAAUCUUUUCUUCAGAGGAAGAGAGUUGAAGUGUCAUGUCAGGAUAGAGGCAUGGGGAAGAAGAAUCAGCUAAAGGGAGAUGAGUCCUUCCAUUGCUGCACCCUUGCGACCCUCCCAUGGAAGACAGUUCUCCAUUAACUUCUCCAAAAUGAAUCCAUCUAUAGAGCUACAGCUCUUCACGAACUGCUGCCGCAUGGAUUACUCUUCCGCGGGGUGCAGUCUUUCAAGGACAGGCUGCUCCAUUAGGGCAGCAGAUCUCCUCUCUCCCCUGGGCUCACAACCUCCUCCAGGCACCCAGUUGCUCCAACAUCAGCUCCUCCUCCAUGGGCUGGGGGUGGAUCUCUGCAUCCCCACGUAUCUCCACAGCCUGCAGGAGCACAGCUGCUUCACCAUGGUCUGCACCUUGAGCUGCAGAGGGAUCUCAGCUCCAGCGCCUGGGGCACCUCCUUUCCCUCUUUUUCCACUGACCUUUGUGCCUGCAUGGUUGUUCUUCAUCCAUGUUCUCACUCUGCUCUUCUCUAGUCACAAUUACAACUGCACAACCACUUUUUGUUUAGGUUUCUUCAUAAAUGUGUUGUCACAGAGGUGUUACCACCAUUUCUAAUUGACAUACCUGUCUUUGGAGCCACCAAGGAUUGGCACUGCUGGACACUGAGGAAGCUUCUAGCAGCUUCUCACAGGAGCCACCCCUGUUACCAAAAGCACAUACCGUAAUCACAGAAUCAUUUUCUUACCAUUUGGCCUGACUCAACUGAAGUAUGAAACAAAGUCAAGACAAUUUAACAGUAACCAAAUACCAGUCUAUAUUUAUCAUUCAUUGAUUGACUUGGGAUUUGCAGGUGAAGGAUUUUGUGUCCAGGUUUCAUAUAUGAUUAUCUUGAUGGUUGGAUAAAAAAAGUGGUCUCAAUCUUUCUGGAAUUUAUUCAUUUCCAUACUUAGAUAAAUCUUCAUAUACUAGAUGUCUGGAAUGAAUGAGUUUGCCCAGUAAAUUGAAAAUUUGUGUUUCUGUCUAGUAACCACAAACCAUAAUAUUACAAGGAAAAAUCAAAAAGAGAUGCUAAAAAAUUUCCCUUCAAUACAGUUUCUCUCAACACUCAAGGGAAAGAUUAUUAUUUUAAUUUUCUGGGAAUAGAGUAUAAUCUAGAAAGAAAUUAUUAGUGAGUCUCUUGGCUCGCAUUAGAUGUAGAACAAAUGUUAUUUUAAACAUAAUCUGUAACACUUAAUUGCAAGUCCCUAUUCUGCCAGAUAUUUAACCUUUUUUACAUUUAUUAACAUUGUUCCUGAGAGGUCUAUACAACCUGCAAUCUCUUCAUUAUUCCACUAUUGAAAAGAAAAUCAGUAACACAAUUUCUGAUUAUUUCCUUUUAAAUGUUAUGAAGUAUUUUACAAGAAUAUAGUGAAAUAAAUGUGGAAUAUUACCCAACAAUUCUGAUACAUGUUGAAAAAGGAUAUGUUCAAGAAAAUGAAGUUGUAAAGAAUUCUGUUUUGAUAGCAUAUCAUAAUAACAUUUGCUAAAUCACUCUGUAUUUCUUUCUCUUUCUCUGUCUCUUGCUCAGUUGCAUUUUAUUUUUAAUUAAUUAGAAGAGAGAAAAUCCUACAGGAGUUUUAAUAUUAAAUUUAAGUAUUUGUAUUCUGGUAAUGUCAUCAGGCAGAUCCAUCUGUAGGUCUUAUUACCUUGUAUUGAAAUAAUAUGUCCUGAAAAAUAUUGAUGCAGGAUUUAAUUUAUACAUAUAAAAAACAUUCAUUGAGCCAAAAA